ACUGAACGCUGGCGGAAUGCUUUACACAUGCAAGUCGAACGGUAGAGGGGGCAACCCCUCGAGAGUGGCGAACGGGUGAGUAAUAUAUCGGAACGUGCCCAGUCGUGGGGGAUAACGUAGCGAAAGUUACGCUAAUACCGCAUACGAUCUAAGGAUGAAAGCGGGGGAUCGCAAGACCUCGCGCGAUUGGAGCGGCCGAUAUCAGAUUAGGUGGUUGGUGGGGUAAAGGCUCACCAAGCCAACGAUCUGUAGCUGGUCUGAGAGGACGACCAGCCACACUGGAACUGAGACACGGUCCAGACUCCUACGGGAGGCAGCAGUGGGGAAUUUUGGACAAUGGACGCAAGUCUGAUCCAGCCAUUCCGCGUGCAGGAUGAAGGCCCUCGGGUUGUAAACUGCUUUUGUACGGAACGAAAAGGUCUCUCUUAAUACGGGGGGCUCAUGACGGUACCGUAAGAAUAAGCACCGGCUAACUACGUGCCAGCAGCCGCCGUAA
rnacentral:rRNA from 1 species